CGGCCUGCCGCGGCCCUGAGCUCACCUGAGGCGGAGGCGCCCGCGACUCCCCGCCAGCUCCGCCAGUCUCCUCCAGCCCCGGCCCUCGGGCGCCUGAUCCAGGAGCUCGCUGAGCCUCCGCAGCAGCGGCUCCCGCAGGCGGUUGAGGGUCGCGCCGGCCGGAGGGGCGAGCAGCGGCCCCGUGGGGGCGGCCGAGGGCGGCAGGGCCUGUAGCGGGUCCCCCAACAGCGACAUGGCCCUCGCCGGCGACCCCGGACUGCCGGGGCUCCCGCCCGCCCCGUCACGGGCCUCGGCCCCGGGGCACCUUCCGCUCGCCUCCGAGCCGCGGAGGCAGGGGCGGAAGAACAAAUCUGGCAGCGCGGCACGGCCCUCAGAGGAGGAAGCUCCGCUCCCCGCCCCAAUUAGACAGCAGGAAUCAUCUGGUUUACACCGCGUCAGACUGCCGCCCGCAAUCUCCGUCAUCAAAGCAGGCAACCCUGUAGAGGAUGCCUUUCCCUGGAAUGAUCCGGAAUGGACGACACCUGAGCUCUCUCUGCCAAUCUUAGCAACAUCCAAGGCCAUUAUCCCUUUGAAAACUAUGGCUUCGUUUGGGACAAAAAGGAAGUAACUUACGAAAUGUGACCAGUCAGGUAGUUCCCUACACGAGGCUUCCUGGCCCAAUUUCUGUUGCCAUUAGCUUUUCAUCACCCAAGGCCGCAGGAUUUUCUGACCAGUAAUUUGGAUACCUAUAUUCUUAUACAUGUUGGCGAGGUAGGUGCGCCAUACAGUCUCCACCACAUUCUAGCACAAGCAGUCAUUAAACUUCACUCUAGCAUAAGUUAAGAAUUCAGACUGCAGUGAGAUGGCUAAGAGCAUGAAAGAUCUGCUCGAUUCAAGUGUUAGGAGCUUGAAUAAGUUUCUUAAUUUCUCUGCCUCAUCUAUUAACACAGGACUGACAAUACAGUUUAUAUAGAGUUGUUGCCAGAAUUAAAGGAGUUGAUGUAUGUGAAGCACUUAACUCGGUAACUGGCACAUCGUAGAUGACUCAGUAAAUGCUAUUACCCUUACACAUACAAGUGCCGUUUCAUACUCAGUUUGACUUGGCAAGCCUUUCCCAACCGCUUCAGGUGCCUUCCUGUUUUGUCCUCAAUUACUGUACAAAUAUUUUCUGAGGAUCUGUUACCUGCAUGUGCCAAUUAUGGAAAUAAAAUCUUCUAGUCUUUACUGGAA
ensembl:lncRNA MALT1-AS1 MALT1 antisense RNA 1